AGCGAACGUUGGCGGUAGGCUUAACACAUGCAAGUCGAGCGAGGCGUAAUAGUCGAGCGGCGAACGGGUGCGUAAUACAUGGGAAUCUACCCUGAAGUGGGGGAUAACGUUCAGAAAUGGACGCUAAUACCGCAUAAUCCACAUUGGGAAAGCGUUGCAGCGCUUUAGGAUGAGCCCAUGGCUGAUUAGCUAGUUGGUGAGGUAAUGGCUCACCAAGGCGACGAUCAGUAGCUGGUCUGAGAGGAUGACCAGCCACACUGGAACCGAGACACGGUCCAGACUCCUACGGGAGGCAGCAGUGGGGAAUCUUGCGCAAUGGGGGCAACCCUGACGCAGCCAUACCGCGUGAGUGAUGAAGGUCUUCGGAUUGUAAAGCUCUUUCGGCGGGGACGACGAUGACGGUACCCGCAAAAGAAGUCACGGCUAACUUCGUGCCAGCCGCCGCCGUAA
rnacentral:rRNA from 1 species